rnacentral:rRNA from 1 species
UACAGAGGGUGCAAGCGUUGUCCGGAAUCACUGGGCGUAAAGGGCGCGUAGGCGGCCUGAUAAGUCGGGGGUGAAAUUCUGCGGCUUAACCGCAGGACGGCCUUCGAGACUGUCGGGCUUGAGCACGGUAGAGGCUGGUGGAAUUCCCGGUGUAGCGGUGGAAUGCGUAGAGAUCGGGAAGAACAUCGGUGGCGAAGGCGGCCAGCUGGGCCGUUGCUGACGCUGAGGCGCGAAAGCUAGGGGAGCAAACAGG